rnacentral:lncRNA from 1 species
CUGGAGUUAGAUACUGCAUUCCCUGUACAUCAUCUCCAUGAACUUCCAUGGCCACCCUCCGAGAUGGGGAUCUACUUUCCAGGUUUAAAAUCUCCGAGCCUCAGACAGUUGAAAUCACAGCUGGUCACAAUUUGAACCCAGAACUGAUUUCAGAGUCCAAGCCCUCCCCAUCACACUAAAUAAAGGACAAAGUAUUUCUAUCAAGCCAAAAAUCAAGACAUGGGACCCUGAAGUGCUUUAUUAUCAGGACUUAUUGGAAGGGUUUCCCAGUUGCUUCCAGGCAGCACAUCUUGGUUUGGACAGACCACAUAGUGGCCAGUGGCUGCCAUAUUGGACAGCACUGGUGUAAGAGGGUCCAUCUCUCACUCCCACAUCAAUGUCCAAUGGUUUCUCAUUCAACUGGAAAGUGAAAUUGGAAAUCUUGUGAAAGAUGAAGAAUUAUGAAUGUGGUACGUUGAACUGCUGGGCCCACCCACAAGACAUCAACAAAUGAAGGUGUGGAAGGGUUAAACCAGUUAACGUUGAACAAAGGACAAUGGAUAUGAUGAGUUACAAGCUGAGUUGUAUCCCUCCACAAUUCACAUGUUGAAGUCCUAACCUUUAGUACUUCAGGGUGUAACUUAUUUGGAAACUAGAUCAUUAUAGAAGUUAAAACGAGGUCAUAAGGGUGGGCCCUAAUCUUACUAACCUGUCCCUAUAAAAGGGAAAUUUGAACACAGUGACACCCAGAGGGAAGAUGAUGUGAAGACAGAGAGAGAAGACAGCCAUCAGCAAGCCAAGGAGAGAAGUCUGGAAUGGAUCCUCCCCUCACAGCCCUCAGAAGGAACCAAGCCAGCCAGCCUCUCAAUCUCACACUUUUAGCCUCCAGAUCUGUGAGACAAUAAGUUUAUGUUGUUUAAGCCCUCCAGUCUGUGGUACUUUGUAAUGUAGCCCCAGCAAACUAAAACAUGGGUUGGCUGGUGGCAUUAGAACAAGUUGCCCAUGAAAAGGUUACAGGCAGCCUAUAGGACAAUUGAAGAUGCAUUCUACUUUCUGCCUGCACUGUGCAUCUAGUGAAGAAAAAAAAAAAAAACACCUCAAUAACUAUCAGUGAUUCAUGGUGUCAUGGAGGCUCCCUCUGCACAUGUCUUGGGGAAAAGAGAGGAUAAACGGUGGAUAGUGGAAGUUCAAGCCUCCAUCCCUUAUUAUCUGUGUAAUGGGCCAACACACCUCAUUCCUUGAGUUCCUGGCAAGUAGAACUUUCUCCACUAAAGUUUCUGACAAAGGCCUUCUCCAAAUAAGACCCAAUGAGACAUUUGGGAUUCAUUGCCUCCUACUUUCUAGAAACAAAUAGAAAAGGCAGGAAGCACAGCUAACAACAUUGGUGGCCAGCUGAAGGAGUUUACACACCCUACCAUGACCCUGGUAGAGUAGAGACAGCAUGAGUUGAAGCCUGCUACUCAGAAUCCACUGCAACUAAGAGUGUGUGUGUGUGUGUGUGUGUGUGUGUGUGUGUGUGUGUAUGUAUGUGUGUAUGUGUGUGUUUUCUGCAGUUCCAGUCACAGAUCUGCCUGCCACACAGUGGAGCCCUCUCUUGGACUCUGAAUGCAUAGCCCAGCAAAGCCAAGCAACUGAAUCUCACCAUCAGAACAGCUGAGAGCAGCUCCAUCAAAGCAGUCAGUGGUACAUGUGAUCAAUUUGUUUUUUGUAUUUCUGGGCUACAAAAUGUCUCUUAAGUUUCAUCAUUGGACCUAUCGAGAAAGGAGAAAUCAAUUGAGUUGUGGAGAUAAAAGAAAAUUACACACACCCAUGCAUGACCAGGCAACAGAGUCCCAUGCCUGGGGCUAGGCUGGGUGGCUGGCUGUGCCAUUGACUUUCAGGGUGUGUAACUUUUGCCAUCUGUAUGGGGAUGAUAAAACUUCCAUGUGAUCCUUCAGCUGUGGUGAGGAUUCUGUGAGCUGGAAGGUGAAGAGCAUGGUGCAUUCUGUGCCUGAUGUGGACUGUGCACCCAAUGGAGGAGGGAUAUCAUCAUCUCAAACCAUACCCCUAUCCCCAUUUUACAGGUGAGGAAACUGGGGCAUAGAGAGGACCAGUUCCUCUGAGGUCAGCCAGCAAGUGCACGGCAGAAUCAAGUCUCAAACUGGGAGUUGUCUGCUCCCUGAGCCCAGGACUUUCAUUGAAAGCCUCUGAGUCACCAGGGGCAUUGAAGCCCCUCUGGGUGUCUCAAGCAACCCCACAAGGACUGUGUUUUCAACUUAUAGAUGAGAAGACCACCAGCCUGGACAACAUGGCAAAACACCAUCUCUACAAAACAAAAAGAGGAUAGCGGCCAGGCACGGUGGCUCACGCCUGUAAUCCCAGCACUUUGGGAGGCCAAGGCGGGUUGAUCACGAGGUCAAGAGAUCAAGACCAUCCUGGCCAAAAUGGUGAAACCCUGUCUCUACUAAAAAUACAAAAAAUUAGCUGGACGUGGUGGCACGCACCUGUAGUCCCAGCUACUCGGGAGGCUGAGGCAGGAAAAUCGCUUGAACCUGGGAAGUGGAGGUUGCAGUGAGCCGAGAUUGCGCCACUGCACUCCAGCCUGGCGACAGAGUAAAACUCCGUCUCAAAAAAAAAAAAGAAAGAAAGAAAGAAAGAAAAUAGCCACGCAUGGUGGCGCGCACUCAUCCCAGCUACUCAGGAGGCUGAGGUGGGAGGAUCGCUUGAGCCUGGGAGUUCAAGGCUGCAGCAGCAAGCUGUGAUUGUGCCAUCGUACUCCAACCUGGGUAACAGAGCAAGACUCUGUCUCAAAACAAACAAAAAAAAAACAAGACUCAGUGGGACAAGUCACUUCCCUGUGUAGAGGGGACAGGAUUUGAACCCAGGUUGUUCAUUGCCACAUACUUGCUCUGAUUCUUCCAUCCACACCGUCAGAUUACAGCCGAGCGCUGACAGCAAACUCGCAAAUGAAAGUACAUUAGUAGAAUCCAGUAUCCCCACUCUGGAGUGAGCCCUUCCCUCAUGGGGGAAGAGAGGCAAAAAUAAAACAUACAGAGACUAAUUUCAUGUUCUGAUGCUUUAAAGAAGACAGGGUGGUAUAAUGGGGGUGGCAGCAAGCUACUGGGUGAAAUAUUAAGGACGAUGGCAAGCCACUUUAGCCAGCAUGGUCAGG